GGUGGAGAAGACAAACUCCUGACGGUGGCCGGAAGUCCUCUGGCUGCGGUGAAACUCAGCCCGGCCCUGCUGCUGAGUCCAGAGGAGCUGGGGAAUCUUGGAGCAUCUCCGGAGUCUGACAUUUACGGUAGCAGCAUCCCCAGAGCACUGUAAUCCAACAGCUGGAACUAUAUAUCUUCAGAGCUGGAGCCAGGGAUCUCUGAGAGGAUGAUCUGUUUGACGUCUCCAUGAUGGAGAAGUGGAGUCAUACCAUGGUCAGAGAUGAUGAUCACAUUCAUCUGGUCAGUGAGGCUGUUCCCCAAUUUUGUCACGGAUGUAUCUUAUGAGCGGUCUGCAGUCAGGCCAGCCAACCGCAGCCCAUUCCCCUACAGCACUGAGAAAACUCAUCUACAUCCACUCCAGCACACUACACACAGAAAUGGACGGACGGACGUACGUGCACACACUUCCCUUAUGCAAACAAAAGAACUGAAAUAAGACUUGACAGGAACUGGAUUUCAGUCCUAGAAGACAAAGAACCCAGUUGUGACCUGGAGCCAAAGACAUCCUCCAGAAUUCAACACAGAUGAUCUUCUCCCAGUCUCUGCCAAUGGGUUGUUCCUAAGUGGCACCACCAAACCUGAUAGUUGAUUGGACCAGAGAGACGGGCAGGCAAUCAGACUCCACACAGACGACCCGAAGCCAGGAGCGUCUCCUUGUUUCAGCAGUUAAAGGACAGUUGGACAGCUCCCUCAGAGGCUCACAUUCAGCACCACGGACAGCGCUCUUCACUCCUCACUCCUCACUCCUCCGAGGCAGUUUUUAAAAUGUCAGAUUUUCUUUUAAUAUAAUCUGACUGAGCUCAGAAGAAAAAAUGCGUUUGCAUCAUGAAUAGUCAUGUAAUUGAUUCAAAACAGAUUUUGUCAAAAGUUAUGGAAGAAAAACUAUUAAUAAUUUAAAACGCUUGACUGAACUGUCACAGUAAUUCUUUGCAUCUACUACAAAGGCUUGGAAUUUGGAACUUGUAAACAAUACUAAAUAAGCAAAGCAGACUUUAAAACUGACAUUUUCUAACCUUCUGAUGUUGAAUACUAAAGAUCAGUCAACUACAGAUAUGACUGUAUGGAUGCAGUUUAAGAGCCAAUCAUGCGACAACAUCACGUAGUCCUGUGCACUUGGUGAAGGUGUCUGGGUCAGAUACGAGCGACUCUGCAGAGUCUUACUUUGUUAAUGGCAUCUGUUUUGACACCAUCUGCAAUAUCACUGCCUUAUACUUUCAGAAUUCUGACAAGAAUUAAGAUUAAAUUAUACUUUUUGCUGUAGAGGAGAAGAUGUUCCAGCGGUCAUAGAGCUAAAAACACAUUCAUUUAAUUUUGCAUUAAAAACGUAAGCAACUUUAACAGACCGUUAAAUGCAAACACAGACAACGCUUCAGUGCAUUUUGGCUUUCAGACCAUUUCAAAAUCACUCCUGCUAAAGUUGAAAGUGAGGUUUGUAAUGAGCAGAAAGGUGAUUGAAGUGACUCUAACCCUGACAUGAUGAAAGGACUGAUGUAAGUGUUUCACAAACUGCUGAUCCACUGCAGUUUCCCCACCAGCGUCUCCUCUGUUUUACAGACUGGUCCAGAAACCAGGUACAGUUUUAGGAACGUCACAUGUGUUUAUCGUCUGAGGAGUUUUACCAGACUGGGUCAAGAUAACAUGUUAAAAACAAAAUCACAUAUAUUUAUCUCAUCGUAUAGGCCACAUAUAGGCAAUCACAGAGAGCGCCAUCCAAUGGAGGGGCGAUACUGUAACAUUUUAGCAUUUUAAAAAAGAGCAAUCACAAUGGAGGGGCUGGGGGAGGACAACAGCGAGUGCUAAACCCUAAUCUUGCCUAGUCCACCAAAAUGGUUAGAGCGGACCAUGUGCAUGUUAUGUUACUUAGUAACUAACCUGCAUGUGAUUAAAAACCCCUUUUCUUCUUCUUCUUUUCACAGCAGGAAACCCUGCCCAAUGCCACUCCUGUGGGCUAAGACCAAAAGUUUUAGGAGUGGAGUUUUAGGAUAGUGUCAGAAAUUUGACUUAUGUUACAAGGAAGUAGAGGCAUACGGUAUAAAAAUGGUUUGUGCUUCUGCCUUACAGCAAGAAAAUCAGUGGUUCAGUCCCUGGUUGUAGUUGAUAGUCCUUCAAAUUGUAGUUUGCAUGCUAAUUUGUGUUAUUUGUAAGUGAAUUAUUCACUCUAAAUUGACUUGAGGUGUGAAUGUGAGUGUGAAUAGUUAGCUCUAUGUGAGGCCUUGUUGUGUACUGCUGAACUCCUCAGGGUGUAAUGCUGCCCUCGCCUGAUCACAGCUGGGAUUGACCGUGUAAAGGAUGAAGGUGAAGAAGAUAAAUGAAUGAAUGAAUAAGAGGACAGCAUCCAUCCUCCAUCCUGCUGCUCACAGUCUGAAUAUCAGGGUUUGGGGAAUAUUUUCCAAGCAUUCCUUAGGCGUCUUAGACUCAAAUAAAUAUGGCUGGAAUGACACGGUCUAUACAAGUCUUGUUGCUGAUCAUGUUCAUCCCUUCAUGAUCACAUUGACACCACUUCCUGACAGUGACGUCCAGGCAGGACGACUCGGCGUGUUAAACUCAAAGUUGGUUUCUUGAACUUGACAGUGAGUUCACUGAACAUCAGUUGCCUCCACAGUCACUGGAUCUUAAUCCAAUAGAGCACCUCAGAGACGGGGUGGAACAGGAGAUUGUUAUCGCAGACGUGCAGCCAACAAAUCCGCUGUAGGUCCUGUGAUGCUAUCAUGUCAAUAUGGACAGUCUCUGAGGAACGUUUCCAGCACUGUGUUGAAUCAGCGUCAUGCAGAAUUAAAGCAGUUGCCUCUAAUGACGUAGACAGUGUAUACAAAAAAGAGAUAAUUUUAAAUGCUGAUUAGUUUUCAAUUGGGAUGUCCGAUGUUAACUAUUUGCUGAUAUCUGAUAUGCCGAUUAUUAGGUGCCUUCUUCUGGGCAAAACUGUGUUAUCAGGUUUUUAUUAUCAGAGGAAAAACCACGACGAUUCUUACCUAUAUUACAUAAUUAUGCUAAUAUCGGGUCGAUAUAUCAGACAUUUGUAGUUUUUUGUUAAUUUAUUGACAAGAAAUAAGUGUGUUUGUGUGUGUUGAGUUGCACUCCCAGAGGGUAAACACUGUGUAUGAAGUACGGUGUGGGAAAACAAACACUGCAGAGAUUGUAAAACCCAGCACUUCUAACUUUCAUGAACUGCCUUCACUUGAGUGGAUGCAAGUGGAAUGAGCCACUGCUUGUCAUGCUUGAAAAGAUUCAGAUAUAUACACGAGGUUGCUCCUUUCACCCUGCAUUCUCAUUCUUUUCCUGGUUUAUUCCCUCGGACACGCUUUUUCUGUCUCUAUGACUUACAGAUGAGAGACAAGAUGAUUUUCAAGGUGGUAGAGGGAGAAGGGAGACCUGGAGCUCGGCCCUCUGUCUAACUUUCAUAUCAGAGAAAAAAAAUGAAAUGAUCGAUUUUCUGUCUGUUUCUCUCUCUGCCGGGAAUAUUAAAACAGACAGUGAGGUUUCACACUUACCCUUAGCACCACCACCAGCCCUCCUCUUUCUCCGCCCUCCUCUCCGCCUGCCGUCUCUCCCCAUCACUCCUCCUUUAUACCCUGCCCUUCCACUCCUGCAAGACCACAACUCCAACCCACACCCACUUUUUCAUGGUCAUCUUCGAUUUGGACUACUCCAGUGUCAUCCCUCCAUCUUUUCUGUUCUCCACUCGGGCCGUCUUUCAGAAGGUCACACUGCCGGUUGACAGCAGGCCUCUUUCUCCUGGGCUUGAUGGUAGAGGGCAGGCUCUGGACAAGGACUGAGGGUAAAGACGUAUAGAGAUGAGAAUUUGACAGAGGGAGAAGAUAAGGAGGAGGGGAAGGGUAGGGAGGAGGUUGUCGAGUUGUUCAUAGCCUCGGGCAGGAGUCUGUUAAAUGUGCUCCUCCAUUGCACCGUUGCAGCGUUUGGCUUCAUAUCCAUGCUGAUCUAAAGAGCUGAGAGGGAAAUGGAAAGGUGUGUGUGUACUCUUCAUGGAUACUCUCUGUUUUAUCCCUGACCGUGGUAGUGAUUCUCUCAAAUCUUUACUUUCCAUCUUAUCUUUGCUCAUAUUGAGCCUCAGGAUUCCUGAUAUAGGAAGGACUUCCUCUUCUGAGCCUGUUCUGUCCUUCUACUCGGCCCAACUUAUCAUUAAAGCUGUCUAUCUGACGGCUGGUUGGAUGUUGAUGUUAGUAUUUAUUUAUUUAUUUUGUUGCUUCUCUGUGGUAUGUUGUGUCUAACUCCUUCAAAUAAUCCGUAACUUUCACGGCCACACAUUAGAAGAGAGUUUGACGCUCUACCUGUACAGCGAGAAGAUUACUACUCUGAAUCCUGACAGUAACUUUUAGUAUAUCUGUAAUCCUGAAACAUGCAGGUUGGUUGGUAAUUUAAAUAUGCCACGUAUGCCAAACGGAUGGCUCGGGGGCUAAAUCCAGCCCACUGUGUCUGUAUAGGUGGCCUAACUUGGCUUAAUAGACAAAGGAAAUCAUAGGCAUAAUUGUAUAGAGUCUGUGCUAAUGUUUACUGCUGUGGUCAUGUCCCAUGUGUAUGACAAAUACAUGUCUAGUAUGUCACAAUUCUAAUUCUCUAAUUCCAAUUCUAAUCAAGCGUAUGGUUCAGUGUAAUUCACAGUCUGUUCAAAUUCAAUAUUAAUGCAGUGAAAGCACUGCCAGCAGUAAGACUGAUUAAAUACAGUAUAAGCCUGUAUCAGAAGGUUUCAGACAAUUCUGUGGUGUUGUUCUAACAAGUCAAAUGUUCCACAUGAACAUAGUUAAAGGAGUAAUGUGAUGGGACAUGAAAACCUCUACUCAGUAAUCACUCCAUUACCUCCUACUUUAAGGGCAUCCUAAAUGGUCAAAAAUGGCAACAAAAAAAAAAUAUAUAAAUGAAUUUCUGUCUUGUCCAAUUGUCCAAUGUGUCUGUCCUUCUUGUACUGUGUCUUGAGGCAGGAUGAAAAAAAAGACCCCACUUUUAGGAAUUUAUUUUGACGAAGUCUGGCUUGGACGAGUCACGUAAUGUAGUGUAUUAAGCAGAGAAACAGACUCCAUCAAGAAUCUGUUUCUCUGCAGCAGUUAAUGGUAAGUUAACAUGAGCACGACCCGUUUUUAUACCGCUGUUAUUUUGUUUGUGGCUCAUUACAUGAGCGACAUAUAACUAAUGUGCUUCUCUGAUACAGUGUCUCAAUUUAGGGCUGCCACAGAGCUGUGUGAAUAUUUUUAUACUCUUUAUUGUCGAUGUUUAAAUGAAUACGGUGAAGUAGUCCACUUCAAAACUAUCAUCCAGGAUGUCACGUUCACACUUAGUAAACUGUAAAACUGAGGGUCUGGGUCAUCGAGCAAAUGAGAGACAGGGACGGAAAUCUGCUUCAAUAACAGAAAUAUUUAAAGAAAAAACUGAUAGACUGUUAAAAUAGAGUUAUAUUUCAUAAAAAAACUGGUCUUAAACAUUUGAAUUAAAAGCAGUGCUGUUCUAGAUAAGUUGAAGCCUUGGUUAAAAAUGAAUGCCUUCACUGCUGUUGACCAGCAGGGUGCCUUUGGAAACGGAGCUGCUGUAGGUUGAAGACAAAUUAGGAGGAGGAGAGGGGGGAGCUGAUGUAACAGGCAGAGAGAAUAAGGAAAGGCAGGAGUGUGGAGGUUUGGACGUGGAGACGAGGGCUGGUGAAGGCAGGCCAUCGAUGCCAGACAUAAAAUAUUUGUGAUAUUUGUUCUUGCUGUACGACCUACUGUACUUCCCUAAUUCCCAUGUACAGUAUUUUGACCUCUUCAUUACACAAUGAGUUAAUUGCUGGAUGGUUAAAACUUUGUUGCAGGAGUGGAAAAAGAAGAAAAAAAAGAAGAGAAGGAAGAGGAAAACUCCUGCCGUCCUAACGGGAUUUUCUCUCUCGUCCCCCAUUUUGGGAACCAUGUCUUUUUUUCUUUUUUGUAAAUGAAAUCUCACAACUGAACUAAAAAACAACCUUCAAGUAAAUUAAAUAAAAACUGUGUCCAUUUAGAAAAUGCGUAUUGUGGAUAUAUUUGAAUAUUUCACACCACUGGAAAGAAGGCAAAAAGAGGAGCAAUACCAUACAACUAUUACUUACAUGCAUAAGAAGAUCCAAAAUAACUUAAAAACUGUUUUAAGGUUGGUCAGGACUUUUGUCUUUUUUUUGCCCUUUAGCCCGACUCUGAAAGUUUGUGGAGCUUGUCAAACGCCGCACACCUCUGCCACAUAUUCAGCAUUCACCUGACAAAAUCAGAGAGUGUAUUGUUAUUCUCAAGCUGCCAGUCUCACUCUUUAGAAGCCCAGCUAGUCUUAGCCCUCUGUUCAAGGUUGUCCUCAGUGCUGCCUGACAGUAAUGAUAUUAAUUCUCUGCCAACACUUGAACAAUUUCUCUUUCUUCCGUGUUAUCUGUUAUCCCCUGUACUUUCUUUGUUCUUCCAAAUCGUAAAUUGUUUUCCUUUGGCUCCACUUCUCCUUGAGCUUGUCAUUUGUUUUCCUAUUAAAGUCAUCCUAUGAUAAAGUUUGGUCUGUAGCUACGGGUCGGACAGAUUGAGUCUUUCUGUUUUAAGAUGUGUUUAUGCAAGACUGAGAGUUAUGUGUGCGUGUAUGUGUGUGUUCCAGCAGGGUUUUGUCAGAUGAGAUGAACAAUGGUGUGUGCCCCUGCAAUAAUUCCUGAAGAUUUCAGAGUUUUGGAUAUGGGGGAAAUAUGGAAGAAAUCCUGGCAGCAGAGGGCGUUAAAGUUUAGUCCACAGCUUGGAUAAAACCUGAACUGGAGGAACAAACAAGAAUGGAUGGAUGGAUGGAUGAAGGCUAGUCCAAAAACAAUAAAAAAGCCCAUCCAAUAGAUAUGUACUUGCAUUCCUGACCAGUAGAAGGCAGCACUAAGACCCUAGCAAGGAAGAACUCACUCAUUUUCUUUAAGAAAAAUAACAUAUUAAAAAUUCAUUUUGAAAAU